UUCACGGUAUAUAGUUUUGUUAGUUUUAUAUUUGCACAUUUGUUAAUUCUAUAUGUUCAAAAAAACAAAUAGAAGAGGAAACCGUUUAAAACACACAACAUUGUGCACAGUGAGCAUAAGAACAUCUGGAUGAGGUUCUGGAGGUACUAGAACCAGAGGAACCCACAAUCCCCACAGUGAAUCCUCCAGAGACCCGCUGUCUCAUUGGUGUAGGCCGAGCAGACCGCACAGGACCUGUGGCUGAUGUACCUCUGGUCAGUUUGUGUGCAUUAUUUCUGCAUAUCAGCGCUAGAUAAAACCACCGCCUGUUGUACUUUGUUUGCUUGUAUAGGUGAGGACUUAUGAAAACUGUCAAUCCAUCACUUAUUACAGUCUGAGAAUGUUUAUGACUGAUGUUUGCGUUGAUCACCUGUCAUAAGCAGCGGCUACAUUAAACCAUCUAUACAAGCCAUGGUCAAUGGAGUAGUCAAGAGCAUUGAGAUCACAGCUCACAGAAACUUAAGACCCGGACGAAUUGUCAUCAAUUAAGGAGAACUGAUCGACAGCAAUCAGAACAGAAGUCCAAACUCAUAUCUGAACGAUCCAGAUGAGGAGAGAAAGUGUCUUCAUCCACACGACUAAAACAAUCCUGCUGCAUUUUCUGUAAAGAAUAAACCCUUUUCAUUCAGGACCAAUAUUUAUAAUAACUUUCAUUAAAAGAGAAAAAAUCAUCUGUGGCAUUAUUCAUUUCUGAUCCUGUAUCUCAUUUAGAUAUGAAUACAACACAGCCAAGCAGAUUGUCAUCAUGAAGUUCACAGAUAUGGAUGGAGAUGGCGUGGGUCUGUUAGGGUAUAUUCAGUAAUACACUGAGAGUUUCGCGCUUUCAAUGGAAUACACUGUUGAGGAGCUUUCAGCCAACUCAUACCUCAUCCUGUUAACCAGGAUACUUGUACUGUACCUUAACUUUUUCACUUCUAAUAAAAACAACUUGAUUACUCACCAUGAUUUCAUUUAGAUCUUCAAGUACAAAGUGCUUAUUUGUCAUCGCUUCAAAUGCACUAAAAUAACAAAUGAAUCAAUUUAACGUUAAGUUUAUACUUUGCUUUUGGCUUGACAUUUUAAACCGAGUAAGACUUUGAGUUCAGACACAGGAGCUUCUAUGUGUAAUGAAAUAGUGCGAUUGUUCACUAUGAUACAAAUGAAUAUGUAGCGCCUAUUAGCGGAUAUAUAGAAGAACUAUGUUUAUACAGAACUAAACUUAACCUGUUUGUUACACUGAAUAAAUGUUUUAUUUUGUAUCUGACCAUUCUUCAAUAAUUGAACAUUACUUACCUCUGUACAAACUGAAACAGCGCACUCAAUAUUCUGAAAAGGUCGGGAUCUGAUCUGAGAGACGAGACAAGACAGACACACUUAUGCUGCUGAACAUUACCCAGCAAAACUGUGAAACAAAGCUUAAAUUUCUCCACAUUAGAUGAUUUCUGAGUGGUUCUAUUCAGAGCUGGAGAAUCAUAUUGUUUCACA